UUAGAUAGUUGGUGGGGUAACGGCCUACCAAGUCUACGAUCUAUAGCUGGUUUGAGAGGAUGAUCAGCAACACUGGGACUGAGACACGGCCCAGACUCCUACGGGAGGCAGCAGUGGGGAAUCUUAGACAAUGGGCGCAAGUGAUCUAGCCAUGCCGCGUGAGUGACGAAGGCCUUAGGGUCGUAAAGCUCUUUCGCCAGGGAUGAUAAUGACAGUACCUGGUAAAGAAACCCCGGCUAACUCCGUGCCAGCAGCCGCGGUAAUACGGAGGGGGUUAGCGUUGUUCGGAAUUACUGGGCGUAAAGCGCGCGUAGGGGAUUGGAAAGUUGGGGGUGAAAUCCCGGGGCUCAACCCCGAACUGCCUCCAAAACUAUCAGUCUAGAGUUCGAGAGAGGUGAGUGGAAUUCCAAGUGUAGAGGUGAAAUUCGUAGAUAUUUCGGAGGAACACCAGUGGCGAAGCGGCUCACUGGCUCGAUACUGACGCUGAGGUGCGAAAGUGUGGGGAGCAAACAGGAUUAGAUACCCUGGUAGUCCACACCGUAAACGAUGAAUGCCAGACGUCGGGGG
rnacentral:rRNA from 1 species